rnacentral:rRNA from 1 species
GACGAACGCUGGCGGCGUGCUUAACACAUGCAAGUCGAACGGAAAGGCCCCUUUGGGGGUACUCGAGUGGCGAACGGGUGAGUAACACGUGAGUAACCUGCCCUUGACUUCGGGAUAACUUCAGGAAACUGGGGCUAAUACCGGAUAGGAAUCCUUGCUGCAUGGUGGGGGUUGGAAAGCUUCGGCGGUUUUGGAUGGACUCGCGGCUUAUCAGCUUGUUGGUGGGGUAGUGGCUUACCAAGGCUUUGACGGGUAGCCGGCCUGAGAGGGCGACCGGCCACAUUGGGACUGAGAUACGGCCCAGACUCCUACGGGAGGCAGCAGGGGGGAAUAUUGCACAAUGGGCGGAAGCCUGAUGCAGCAACGCCGCGGGCGGGAUGACGGCCUUCGGGUUGUAAACCGCUUUCAGCAGGGGCGAAGCUUGUGGUGACGGUACCUGCAGAAGAAGCACCGGCUAACUACGUG